UACGGGGCAGCAGUGGGGAAUAUUGGACAAUGGGCGAAAGCCUGAUCCAGCCAUGCCGCGUGUGUGAAGAAGGUCUUCGGAUUGUAAAGCACUUUAAGUUGGGAGGAAGGGCAGUAAAUUAAUACUUUGCUGUUUUGACGUUACCGACAGAAUAAGCACCGGCUAACUCUGUGCCAGCAGCCGCGGUAAUACAGAGGGUGCAAGCGUUAAUCGGAAUUACUGGGCGUAAAGCGCGCGUAGGUGGUUCGUUAAGUUGGAUGUGAAAUCCCCGGGCUCAACCUGGGAACUGCAUUCAAAACUGACGAGCUAGAGUAUGGUAGAGGGUGGUGGAAUUUUCCUGUGUAGCGGUGAAAUGCGUAGAUAUAGGAAGGAACACCAGUGGCGAAGGCGACCACCUGGACUGAUACUGACACUGAGGUGCGAAAGCGUGGGGAGCAAAC
rnacentral:rRNA from 1 species